UACGUAGGGCGCAAGCGUUGUCCGGAAUUAUUGGGCGUAAAGAGCUCGUAGGCGGUUUGUCGCGUCUGCUGUGAAAACCUAAGGCUCAACCUUGGGCUUGCAGUGGGUACGGGCAGACUAGAGUGCGGUAGGGGUGACUGGAAUUCCUGGUGUAGCGGUGGAAUGCGCAGAUAUCAGGAGGAACACCGGUGGCGAAGGCGGUUCUCUGGGCGAUGAUCCUGACGC
rnacentral:rRNA from 1 species